UUAGGACGGUUCUACAGGUUGAUCAUCAAGAUAAACACUCAUUUCUGUGUCAGAGAAUCAGGAGCAGCAGCAGUCGGUCUGUUCUCACAUUUAAGAUCUACAAUGAACCAGAAACCACCGAGUUCUGAACUCAACCGGAACUUUGUGGUCUCUCUUUGUGGCGGGAAGACUGACACAAAUCUCUUUCUUCACUGGAAGUUCCUUCGAUGAGACGCAGCACUUCACACCUGGAACUCAGUCAACAUGGUGAAACUCGCUCUGCUGUGUUUCUGUCACUGCUGCUGUUGGACAUCGGUGCAGCUGGAGGUUCAGUCCAGACAAUCACAGCAGCUGUUGGACAAAAUGUCACUCUGCCGUGUCAAGUUCUAAACUACAGUGGAACCUUCAACGCUGUAAUGUGGAACAGACCAGACCUGGAGAAGAACCACUAUGUUUUUUUAUUCAAAGACGGACACAUUGAUCCAGAAGACCAGCAUGAUAUUUACAAGAACCGAGUGCAGCUGAAGGACAGAACGAUGAAGGACGGAGACGUGAGUCUGAUCCUGAAGAACGUGACCUUCAAUGACCGUGGGAAAUACGAGUGUUUCAUCCAGAGAGAAACCAAUAAUACGGACACAGACAACAAUGAGCUGAUCACCUCCAUCUCUCUCUCAGUGGUUCCUCCAGGAGACACUGGAGGACGAGGAGGGAGUGGAGGACAUGUUGGUCUGAGUGCUGGUCUGACUGUAGCUGCUCUGGUUGGUGUUGGAGCUAUUUUUGGUGUUGUGAUGUUUCUAAGACACCAGAAGAAGAAGAAGAACUCUCCUCCUCCUGCUGCUCCAGAACCAGAUAUGAUGUUGAUUUAGGUUCACUCUGAGACACACUAGAGCAGGG